rnacentral:rRNA from 1 species
CGUCAAAUCAUCAUGCCCCUUAUGACCUGGGCUACACACGUGCUACAAUGGACAGAACAAAGGGCAGCGAAACCGCGAGGUUAAGCCAAUCCCACAAAUCUGUUCUCAGUUCGGAUCGCAGUCUGCAACUCGACUGCGUGAAGCUGGAAUCGCUAGUAAUCGCGGAUCAGCAUGCCGCGGUGAAUACGUUCCCGGGCCUU